rnacentral:pre_miRNA from 1 species
GGCCUAAAUUUGAAAUAGAGUGGGUUAGGAAGAUCAUCCGACUCUACAAAACUACUCUACUUCGAGUUUGUGCCC